rnacentral:rRNA from 1 species
AACGAACGCUGGCGGCAGGCUUAACACAUGCAAGUCGAGCGGAGCGAGGGUGCUUGCACCUUAGCUUAGCGGCGGACGGGUGAGUAAUGCUUAGGAAUCUGCCUAUUACUGGGGGACAACAUUCCGAAAGGAAUGCUAAUACCGCAUACGCCCUACGGGGGAAAGCAGGGGAUCUUCGGACCUUGCGCUAAUAGAUGAGCCUAAGUCGGAUUAGCUAGUUGGUGGGGUAAAGGCCUACCAAGGCGACGAUCUGUAGCGGGUCUGAGAGGAUGAUCCGCCAAACUGGGACUGAGACACGGCCCAGACUCCUACGGGAGGCAGCAGUGGGGAAUAUUGGACAAUGGGCGGAAGCCUGAUCCAGCCAUGCCGCGUGUGUGAAGAAGGCCUUUUGGUUGUAAAGCAUUUUAAGCGAGGAGGAGGCUCUUAAGGUUAAUACCCUUGAUGAGUGGACGUUACUCGCAGAAUAAGCACCGGCUAACUCUGUGCCAGCCGCCGCCGUAAAAC